CAGAGGUCUCAACCGUUGUUCGGAUUCAUUGGGCGUAAAGGGUGCGUAGGCGGUCGUGCAAGUCGGAUGUGAAAUCUCAGGGCUCAACCCUGAAACUGCAUUCGAUACUGCGUGGCUAGAGUGCUGGAGAGGAGACUGGAAUUUACGGUGUAGCAGUGAAAUGCGUAGAUAUCGUAAGGAAGACCAGUGGCGAAGGCGAGUCUCUGGACAGCAACUGACGCUGAGGCACGAAGGCCAGGGGAGCAAACGGGAUUAGAUACCCCGGUAGUCCUGGCAGUAAACGGUGCACGUUUGGUGUAGGCGGAUUCGACCCCGCCUGUGCCGGAGCUAACGCGUUAAACGUGCCGCCUGGGAAGUACGGUCGCAAGAUUA
rnacentral:rRNA from 1 species